rnacentral:rRNA from 1 species
CCUACGGGUGGCAGCAGUGGGGAAUAUUGCGCAAUGGGCGAAAGCCUGACGCAGCGACGCCGCGUGAGGGAUGAAGGUCUUCGGAUCGUAAACCUCUGUCAGCAGGGAAGAACGGUCACUGUGCUAAUCAGCAGUGAAUUGACGGUACCUGCAACGGAAGCACCGGCUAACUCCGUGCCAGCAGCCGCGGUAAUACGGAGGGUGCGAGCGUUAAUCGGAAUUACUGGGCGUAAAGCGCUCGUAGGCGGUAUGUCAAGUCAAGGGUGAAAUCCCCGCGCUCAACGUGGGAACUGCCUUUGAAACUGGCAAACUGGAGUGUGUGAGAGGAUAGUGGAAUUCCAGGUGUAGGGGUGAAAUGCGUAGAUAUCUGGAGGAACAUCAGUGGCGAAGGCGACUAUCUGGCACAUAACUGACGCUGAGGAGCGAAAGCGUGGGGAGCAAACAGGAUUAGAUACCCUUGUAGUC